UCUGCCUGGUUCAGCCCACCUGCCUCCCCUCCUGCCUCCACCAUGUCCAUCAAGGUGACCCAGAAGUCCUGCAAGGUGUCCAUCUCUGGACCCCAGACCUUCAGCAGUUGCUCCUAUAUGAGUGGGCCUGAUACCCACAUCAGCUCCUCAAGCUUCUCCUGAGUGUGCAGCAACAGCAGCUUCGGGGUGGCCUGGGCAGAGGCUAUGGUGGGGCCAGUGGCAUGGGAGGCAUCACCACCAUCAUGGUCAACCAGAGCCUGCUAAGCCCCCUUAACCUGGAGUUGGACCCCAACAUCCAGGCCAUGCGCACCCAGGAGAAGGAGUAGAUCAAGACCCUCAACAACAAGUUUGCCUCCUUCAUAGACAAAGUACGGUUCCUGGGGCAGCAGAACAAGAUGCUGGAGACCAAGUGGAGCCUCCUGCAGCAGCAGAAGAUGGCUCAGAGCAACAUAGACAAGAUGUUUGAGAGCUACAUCAACAAACUUCAGUGGUAGCUGGAGACUCUGGGCUAGAAGAAGCUGAAGCUGGAGGCAGAGCUUGGCAACAUGCAGGGACUGGAGAAAAAGUAUGAGGAUGAGAUCAAUAAGCAUACAGAGAUGGAGAAUGAAUUUGUCCUCAUCAAGAAGGAUGUGGAUGAAGCUUACAUGAACAAGGUGGAGCUGGAGUCUCACCUGGAAGGGCUGACUGACAUGAUCAACUUCCUCAGGCAGCUGCAUGAAGAGGAGACCCGGGAGCUGCAGUCCCAGAUCUCAGAUGUGUCUGUGGUGCUGUCCAUGGACAACAGCGCUCCCUGGACAUGGACAGCAUCAUUGCUGUACAAGGAGAUUGCCAACCACAGCUGGGCUGAGGCUGAGAAUAUGUACCACAUCAAGUAUGAGGAGCUGCAGACGCAGGCUAGGAAGCACGGGGAUGACUUGCAGCAUGCAAAGAUAGAUCUCCGAAAUGAACCGGAAUAUCAGCCCACUCCAGGCUGAGAUUGAGGAACUCACAGGACAGAGGGCUUCCCUGGAGGCUACCAUCACAGAUGCCGAGCAGCGUGGGGAGCUGACCAUUAAGGAUGCCAAUGCCAAGCUAUCUGAGCUGGAGGCCACCCUGCAGCAGGCCAAGCAGGACAUGGCACAGCAGCUGUGUGAGUACCAGGAGCUGAUGAACGUCAAACUGGCCCUGGACAUUGAGAUCGCCACCUACAGGAAGCUGCUGGAGAGCAAGGAAAGCCGGCUGGAGUCUGGGAUGCAGAACAUGAGUAUCCAUAUGAAGACCACCAGCAACUAUGGAGGUGGGCUGAGUUCGGUCUAUGGAGGCAUUCACAAGCCCCAGCCUCGGCUACGGCCUGGCCUGCAGCUGUGGCUCUGGCAUGGGCUCCAGCUCCUUCAGCCACACCAGCUCCACCAGAGCCAUAGUUGUGAAGGAGAUCGAGACUUGAGAUGGGAAGCUGGUAUUCGAGUCCUCUGACGUCCUGCCCAAGUGAACAGCUGCAGCAGCCCCUCCCAGCCUGCCCCUCCUGCAGCUGCCCCAGAGCAGGGAGGGAGGCCGCUGUGCAGGGGAGCACAGGGAACAGGAGACCCACCUGAGGCUCAGCCCUAGCCCUUAGCCCGCCCGGGGAAGUUUACUGCCUGGGGACCCCUACUUGCCCAUGCCUCCCGCUAUAAAACAAUUCAAUUGCUUUUUUUGGUUUUUGUUGUUGUUGUUUUAUCCAAAAUAAAACCUCAGCUAGCUCUGCCAAAAAAAAA